UGGGCACAGCCUUGCUGUUUUCUUUUUUUAAAUAUCAAACCGGCCAAUGUGUUUAAAUGGUUUUGUCUGUUGCCUUCUGUCCUCAUGUUUCACAAGUACAACCAGUGAAUCAUGUACAAUCUUAUUUACUUUUCUUACAACACAGAAGUGAAGGCCUCUUGUGGGAGUCACUGCUUAAAGUCAGAGAAGGGCUUCAGUUUUAAAGAGCAUCUCCAGCAGAACACCCAAAUUCAGCUAAAAAUGUCAACCUUCAUUUCAUGCAAAACUUCACAGCCUCAACCUCUGCUACGAUGCCGAACAGGGCUGUGCACAUUAGGGUUUGCUUUACAGGUGCCCACCUCACACACUGUGUUCAGGUAAGUUUGUACCCUUGCAAGUUGCACCCUUGUUUGCACUUUCUUGCUGUUGUGGUGUAUGGUAGGGUCAGCACGCACCUCCCUGACCCCGCACCCACUGGCAGAGGCUUUUCAGCACCCAAAAUGGGCUUUCUCCGGGCCUUAGUUAACUUCCUGAUAAAUGCAGCAGCAUUAAUUAUUCAUCAAACUGCUGAUAAGGCAAUUAAAUUUCUCUCCCUUUGAAGGUAGCGGUACUUAUUUCUAUAAUGAGGGAAAAGGAGGAGGCUGAAGAAACAACUACAGGUGUGCAGAGCAAGGACUUCUCAUCUGCUGCUCUUAUACUGUGCCUGAAAAGCCUGUCUUUUAUGGAGAUGUCAGUAGCAAUCUCACUUGCUUUUAAGAGAAACAAGUGCCUUUAACCAUUUAAACCCACUUAAACAUAGGGCUUUUGUUCUUUGAUUAAAGACAUAAAGCAGAGAGAAAAUAUCCCGGCUGCCCAUGAGCAUCCUGCUGGGUGGGGGUCAGCAGGGGCCAGCACGGGUCAUGAGUGCUGUGCCACCCUCCUGACCCCAGCCCGUGACAAACCCAUCCAUGCAGCCCAGGCUGGGAACUGCAGCCUUCACUGCAGGGUGCAGCAGGGAGAAAUGCCCUCACCUCUGGGUGAUGCCCUACCCCAUCUCACAUGCCACAUCCCAGAACAGCUCAGGAACCAUUUGCCUGGUGCUUGAAGCACUGGCUGCACCAGCUUUGUCCCUUCACAUGCUGGGCAGCUUUGUGCAGCCCACCAGAGUUACAGGGAGAUGUGGGAUGCAGGAGAGCAGGAAUUUGGGUGCAGCCAUCCAGCCCCCAGCCCCCAGUAAUGAACUUUCUGGGCACCAGAUCUGAGCAGCCUGAAGUUCUACCAGCAUCUAGGAAUGCUGUUUUUGCUCCCUGAUUUUGAUACCGAUAUCACCAUGUUGGUUAAAUAGAAAAGAAAGCAGAGAGACUGCUUUCACAUGUUCACAGUGCUUCCAGCCUCACUGUAAAUAGCCCAGGAGAAAGGUGGUGGUGCCUACCUGCAGGCACUGGGCUGCCCACAUGCUGACUGUGAGCCAUGUCAUUAAGGGAACAAGGUAUCCCUGACAUAACAGUGUUAUUUUUGACAUUAAAAAUGUGAUAAGGUUAAGGAGAUUGUCUGGACCAGACUCAAUUAGCUCAUGGCUGGAGUGAAACCAUGGAGGCUUUGUAGAGCAGGCUGAAGCACCACAACAGAGCUGCAUAAAAGCCCAGAGACAGACACCCCAUCUCCUUUCUUCACACUUUAAAGUUGUCUGCUGGCUUGUCAGAUUUAAAUCUGUUUCUUGUGCCAUAGCUGGCUUGGAAUUCAUCUCAGCCUACAGCAGGAAACGUGUCAGCACCCAAAACUACAGCAAGAAGAAAGUUGUUCUGUGUCUGGGCAGGCCAGGAAAAGGAAAGAUGGUGGCAAGAGAAAAAAAGCAGUCUAUUUCAAUUUCUAUUUAUCCCUCUAGCCUUUGCACAAGGCAUCAGGGAAAGAGCAUGGACAAAAAAAGGCUUAGAAAUGCAUCUCUCUGGCAGAGCUAUGCUUGCUUAGCCCCACUCCACCAGAACACCAGAACACGUUGCCUGAGCUGGUGGUCUCUAGCAAGGACAAUGCUACCACCUAGGCAAGGUCUUUUUGACUCACUGAUUUAUUGGUUCAUGGACAAAAGGCAAAAAUAAACUCCUGGAAUCCCAGAUCCCAGCAGGGGAGAGAAGAAUUCCUGGUGUAGCUGCAGGACAGCAGUGUUGCAGGUGUGCUGCUGCGCUGCAGAGUAGCUAGCACUAAACCACACCUGUUGGUCAUGAAGCACUAAGGAGAUUACAUGUCAUGUAAAAUAGAUGUGGUGGUAAUAUGUCAGAAAUAAAGCCAUUUCCCUAUGAAAUACAGGAACAUGGUAUCUGCACUUGUCUACCGGACCUCACAGCACUGGAUGGAUGCCCAGGGAUGUGGUGGAGAACAUCCUACUUUGAGGUGCUCAAGAGAAGGGUAGAUGUGGCACUGUGGGACAUGGUUAGUCAGCAUGGUGGUGAUGGGCUGGCAGGUGGACUAGGUGAUCUUAGUGGUCUUUUCCAACCUCAAUAAUUGUAUGAUUCUAUUAAUCUGGUUCGGGAACCAUGUUGGAGUCAGCAUAUGAACCACAUCACAACCUUCCACGUCUAACAUCAGCAUGACAGGGCUACAGCGAAUGCCGUUCCCGCUGUCCCUGGGUCCUCCUGUAGCAGAGACAGAGGAGAAUCGUGCAGGUGCAGGAAAGGUGCUGCUGCAGUUAAAGCAGACAUGCCACCCGCAGUAUCUUUUAGAGCCAGAGGCUGCAGUGUCCUGAGAGGCCACAGCACUGGCAGCCACAGCUGCGGGACUCUUCAUGGUGUUGAUAAUGGUUGUUUGGAAGCCAGAAGGCACCACAAAGAGUCAUAAAACUAGAGAAAACUGAUGUCAAGGGAGGAGAGACGCAUCCAGUCAGACCAAGAGAGGUGAGAUGCUAUUUGAAGUUUGUGCCUGAGCACUUUUGUGGAGAAGAAGCCUCAGCUACGCCCAGUCUUCUUCAUGUGGGAGGGGAUACAGAGCCAACAUCUUGGGCUGCAACAUGAAGCCAAGGAAGUUCAGCAGAGCCUGUGGUUUUGGCAGUGAGGCUGGUGAGCCUUGAGGCGAACUGCCCCCAGCAGAGGCUUCUUUGUCUCUGAUGCUGUAAUAGUCUCUUUUUCAGAAUAGGCUUUAAUCAACACAAGCCAUUAAUCUUAAUUCUGGGGUAAUUAAGCUUAAUACAGGGUAACUGUGUGAAAAUUAGUGGGCUGGGAUGUACGGGAAGUCAGACAGGGUAAUUCUCCCUGGCCGGACAGUAUGCAAACCAGCUCUGUAUCCUGAUGUGAGCCCAAGGCUUGCUAUGCAGCAUUGGAAGAAGGCAUGUCUUGCCUUAAUAACCAGACAGCCUUCUGCUCUGUUCCUACAGAAGCUGGAGCACAUUGCUCAGCUAGAAAUGGCACUGGAUGAUGAAGAGGAGGCUCUACAGAAUUUUUUGCUGCACUGCUGCUGAUUUCCAUUGUGCAUCCAGCAGGCCAAGUGAAGUCUGCAGGGUGAAGCAUUUGAGCCUGAAGCUGCAUGAAGAGGCUCCCUCCCCCCGGCAGCCUGCUGUGCCCCAAGUAACUGCAAAAUCAGCUCUUGGGGAGCAGUGUCUGCAUAGGCAGAUCCAGGACUUCUGGACAUGUGCCUGGCAGUGGCUGCAUGAGGAAAGUUCAUCUCGAGUAUAAAUGUCUCCCUAGCCAAGGCGUCCUAUGGGCAGAGGUGGCAGCAGCCAUUGUCUGGAUGUGAAUGUCACUGCCCGUCACUCCUCUGCCUCGGCACAGAGCCCUGAUUGGACCCUGCUGAAACCUUGGCAUUCUGGGGAGAAAGGGAUUUCUUUCUGCUUUCUGUCUGCAUUGCUUCUGAUUUUGUAGCUACUCCUAUACCUAAUGACAGUUUUUCAGCUCCUCAUUAGUUUCAGCUCUUUCAAGUCUUCUCUUGGGCUUCAGAAGGGAGAAAAUGCAAAUGUCCCAAGUCUGGAAGAAAUAGAGUCGGGCAGCCGCUCAGACUUGGCUCCUCAUCUGAAGGCCAGAGCUGCGCUUCUGACAAUGCAGCCCCCACCCAGUUCUGAAUUGUAAGGGAUCACGCCUUGCCCUAGGACCUUGGCUUAUCCUGGGCUGACACUGAAUUAAAGGGCAUGAUGUGUGGCUCACUACGUCCCUAACCUGCUGUCCUAGGGACAAGAAUUACAUCUGUACCCCUCUGACACACAGCGCUAGUGGAAGGGUUGCCCUCAACACAACAGGCAGAAAUGGAUCAGCCCUGAUUUGGGAAGCUCAUGCUGCUCAAAGUGAGUGGGGAAACAGCCUGUAGAAAUCAGAGGCCCCAGGUCCUGUUCUCGAUCCUGUAGGCAGCAAGUCUGAAGUGACUGAAGAGGGCAGAGUGCUGCAGGUAUUAUCCCUGUGAACAGUGGUUUAAUGGUAAUGAAAUUAGGAAACAGACCAGUUUAAGAGCUGUCUCCUUAGCAAGUGUUAAUCACCUUGCUACCGUCAACAUCUGAAUUUAGAUUAGUAUUAAUUUCCACUAGCCAAGAAUUUGUCAGUGAGGAGCCUUAUUGUAACCUUUUCCAAUGCAAUUCAAGUGCCCCUACUGUUUGUGAUAACUGCAGUGGCAACACAAACCUCAUCUGUAUUCCCCUUCCCCUCUUCUCCUCGCUCUGAUCAAAUCCUUCAUUCAUAGUUUUUCUACCAUGCCAGGGUUUCUUGUGCAGCUCAGCUCUGAGUAAGUAGCUGUAUGAUAACAAAACAGUGCUGUCUUUGUUCUCGAAAAGCAGAGAAAUGAGGAUGUAUAAUCUUGAAAGGAGGAAGCUCACAAUGAGAAGAAAGCCACGCACGCACUGUUGUGCUCAGGCACCAGCUGGAUUGAAUUUAGCAAUGCUGUUCAGGGAAAGAGCAAAGAAAACAAAUUCAUUAUUUUGUUUUACCUCCUCCUAAUUGACCCAAAGCUAAUCAGAGCUGAUGGUGUUUCUGUGGAGUUCAGGUUAAACUGAUGACAUUCAUCUGCUUUUGUGCUUUUACCUUAUUUGCUGUGUUUGGCUCUUUUACUGCCUCUUCACACUUGUGCCCUGUGCUCACUCUUCCUGCCUGCGUGGCCACGAUGGAGUUCUUCCUUUUGGGAGGCAUCAGCUCUUCAAUCACUGUUCCAGACAGCAAACCAUCCCCAGAUCUGUGCUUCCUCAAGGGAACCUUCUGCACUUCCUUUAUCACAUGGGCCCACCCUGACAGCCUGGCCAAGUGUGCUGCAAGGAAGCCUCUAUCGUGUCUCUUCCUGGGUGGUUUCCAGCAAAUACAGUCAAUUCACCAUGUUCACAGAUCUGUGUGUCACCUUUAGGUAUAAAUAUAUAAAGACAUGUAUUCACUUCCACUGCAACUAGUGGCAACCUGCUGACUUCUGCAGGUGAUGUUUGGUGUCUCCCACAAGGGCUGUAUAAAAUACAUAGUUGAUAUGAUAUGACUGAUAUGAUAUGACAUGACAUGACAUUAGUUGUUUUUUUUUUCUCUGUAUACAUAAAUAAAAGCAUCACUUCUGCAGUUUACAGGCAGGCACACAAAGGAGGGGGACAAACCUCUGUGUCUGGGAGCUGGCCUUUAGGGAGCCAAGAGCUGAUCUGGGAAGCAGGGGAAGCGCACCACUGCUUUAUUAGCCUGUAACCCUGCAAAGCCUGCCCAGACAUUCAAGGCACACUGUGGGCAGGAAAGGGGGAUGAAGAACAGGGGGAAACCAGUGCAUGCAUGUUUAAUUUGAGAGCUUGCAAACAGACCUGGGGAAUAUUGCAUUCCCUGCUCUGUUGAGUCCACUCUGUAGUCUACUCCACAGAAUGCGCACUCAGGAUAGAUUCUCUUGGGAAGUUUGGUUUCUUCAUCUGAUGACAGAAUGCUCAAGAUGGCUACAGGGCAGUGAGCUGAGAGGGAAGGAGAGGCAGGGCCAGCCCAAGAGGGACUAGACAGCUGCAGAAAUCACCCAGAGAUGCUCUAGAGGAGUGGAGAGUGGAUGCAGGAGAAGAGGCACUGAGAGUAUUGAGUCUGGGGAGCUCAGUGAAACCAAGAAAGGGCUUACUGUACAAGGCAAGACCAGGAGAACAGAAGGUAGAUUUGGGCUAGUUUUUUGGUUAUUUUUGGUGGUGGUGGUGGGUUUUUGUUGUUGUUGUUUUUGAUUUUGGUUUUUUGGGUUUUUUUUUUUCAGUUCAGUCCUUUUGUGCGUCCUGAAAUAACUUUAGGAGUUCAUUGCUCAGUGUGGAAGCCGUGGUCGGGGAUCCGGAGCUGCCAACCUCCACCUCCUGUUGGAACAGGAGUAAAAUAAGAAGACACACAGUCUGCUCUGAUCCAGCCCAUUGCUCCCCCCAGCAGAGACAGAAACCAAGGUUGACCAUUGCUUCUGAAGGUGCAUGGCUUGUCAGGUUUAAUGCCAAAAUUCUACCAUGUUAUCAGUGCCAGGACAGCACUUUUGCAGGACAGCAAUAAGGUACAUGGGCUUGAGCCUCACAGUGCUCAAGCAGUCUGUUUGGGCUUGACGCCUGGACUGUGCCACGUUUACACCCAGGCAAUGAUCUGGGUGUUUGGCCUCUGGGCUGAGGGCUUCAUCCUGCAAAGCUCGUACCUCCACGCUAUGCUUUGUGAGGGCUCUGAGGGCCCCCUCACAUCACGAGGAGGUUGCUACUGCACUGACCUGGCACUGCAAAGGGCCAGGCAGACCAGAAGGAACAAAACCACCUGGAAAGUGUAGAUGUUGAAUACAGAUCAGUGCGAUCAUCCGCCUCAUCCUUCGUAGCGGAACUGUGCAGAUGUGAGAGCCUGGGAUUAACAGGGCCCCGAGCUCCUCACUGAGGGGAUUCAAGGAUAGGUUUGAGCUGCAAUCAAUCUGAAGAGGCUCAAGCACAGCUGCCCUUGUGCCCAGUGACCGCAUUCCUGCUCUGAUCACCAGCUACUUUCCCUUCCCAACAGUCUGCCUCUCUCCUCAGCCUUGCCAAAGCCUCCCCUGUCCAGCCAAGCUGGUGCUCGCCAUCGUUUGUUGGAUCCUCGUGGGUUACUUACUCAAGUACAGCUGUUAAGAGCAAUGGGACAACUGACAGAUCUGCAGGAAGCAUCGCCAGGAUUGCACCUCCAGCUUCACGUGCGCACCAUCACUGCUUGGACUUUCUGGUCCCUUCCAGCACAGGGCAGGGUGGGCUUGUUCCCAUGCUCUGCCAAGCAGAUCUGGUGGGAGGGGGUAAGUUCUUUUCUGCAGCAGCUGUCAAUAGUCUUAUAGCUUUGUUUUUGUACUGUGCUGAUAGCAUGAUAGCAGGUCAGGCAGUUGACUUUGUCUGAUAUUGGAAACCUUCCUGUCCUAACCCAGCUGCAAUCUAUGCCUUUUGGCUGUGUACUGCUAUAUUUCCAUGGCAGUCUGUGCGAGCACAGGUGUUUGAAUGAACUUUACCAGUCAGUUCUUCUGUGACCCUUCAAGAAAUGGAGAAAUACAGCAAGUCUGCUUCUUACCUCCAAGGACUCUCCGGCAAUAAUGGCUGACUGGAUAGAGCAGGUGCAGGACCUCCUGCUUCCUAAUUUUGUAACUGACCUAAACUCCAGUUGUUUCACUGCUUAUUCAGCAGAGAAAAGAGAUAUAUAGGGAUAUUUCUCGGUUUUCAGAAUGACAGUCUUUUCUCUAUCCUUUCAUUAUGCAAAGAAGAUAAAAGUUGGAAGCAAUAUUUGCGGAUGGACAGACCAAUAAACCAAGGAAGAUAAAUACGUUUGCCAGGAAGCCACCUUACUGCUUAUACAUGGCAAAUAGAUCUGUGAAAUUAAGUGGUGGAGACUUGUGUAGACAGAUGAAGAGGCUGCUGGGCAAAAUCAGAGGGAUAAAGAGAUCUUCAGGCCAUGUCUGACAGCCUGUUUCUCCUUGUGCUGAUGGACUACAGUAACUGCUCCUUGUUAAUUAGCGCUCUUUAUUGUCAUCAGAGGUUCAGGCCAGCCAGAAGGUGUGCUGAAAGCUGACCAUCUACAGGAAUGGCCACUCUCCAAAGAGAAACCACUGCCUGCUCCUUUAAGAGUUAAACCUGGACCAGCACAGUCCCUAUUUUUAGCAGUCCCAACAUUCACUAGCAGCCUGUUUUAACUGCAACUUUUUGCAAUAAUUUUUCCGUCACUGGAGAAAUAAGGAAUUCCUGUGCUGACCCAAGAGCUGCAGGACAUUUGCAGUGUGUCCUGCUUUGCUCGCUGCCUUUUCCAAUGUUUCUGUCUCGUUAAAAUAGAGCCUGUUAAAACCUUUCCAAAAUUUCCAAACAAUUAGAACUCCUUGGAAGCUUGGCCUUAGUUAUCUUUGAAGAAAGAAGGCUAAAUGCAGGCAGUUAGCAAUGCCAGCACUGAACAACACAGCAAUGCUUGGAGCAGUUUGCCCUCUCAUGGCCAGUUGGAGCUUGCUGCUCCUGCCCUUGUACUGAGAUAGGAAAAUUGGAUGGCCCCAGAGCCCAGUUUCAUCCAUUAUGCUCCUCACUUGUCUUGUUAUUCCAUGUCAAGGAUGAUCUUUGGUUCAUGCCAGAGCACAGCUCUCUCAUGGAGCGUGCCCCAUGCCACCUCCUGCCACAUCACGCUUCCUUUUGGCUUCCUGCAAAUAUCAUGGAGCUGUUCUGUAUUUCACAGUCUGGUCACUUGUUUAUGGUCUGUCGAGAUUCUUGUCUGAGCUGCAAAAGACCUUGAGCUGCUACACUUCACUGAGUGCACCAGGUGAGCAUCUGCAGGCUGAAGCACAGUUGGACACAAACCCACUGGAAACAUCCACUGCUGUGCUCCUGUUGCAAGAUGGCUCCUCCUUUCGGGGACCAGGUCCCUCUCAAAUUCCAUGCUGCUGGUUUGGCCCCCCUCGUGCCAUGCUGUAUUGCUAACUGGGGUGAAGAGAACAGGCUGCACUGGCAUGGACUGGGAGACAUUUCCACCACUCUGUUACAGGGAAGCCUCUGGACACUCAUGUUGUCUCCUGCAAACAAUCCUAUCUUCCAGAAACAAGCAGAGAACCAGGACCAAGUGACUGACCUGGGAGAGAGCACUUCCAAUGAUCACCUUUCAUCAGGGACAAGAACUGGUUUUGGAUGGGGAACAUUGCAAUUCUCUCUGGAAAAUGAAACAGGAUUAAAAGAACCACGAGGAGAAAUGCAACAACGAUAGAAAAUUAUCUUGCUUUUGUCUACAUUUUUCAUGGUGAAGCAAAUGGGAAAGUACAAACUCCUGUCUUCCCCAGUCUUUUUUUUUUUUUUUAAGUACAUUGACUUCCUUAGGCUUAGAGUUCAAAAUAUUUAGAAAGAAAAGGCCCAUAUCCAGUGCCAUCGCAGUAACCACGUGUGAAGCUCAGACUGCUCCUCUCCUUCUUCCUUCUUCCAUCUUUCACAAAACUGUUCUGCUGCUUUUCUCUUUCAGUUUUCUGAUGCUUUUUUUCCUCCUGAUAUCUGCAGGAGACUUCCAGGCAUGACGUGCACAGCAGCAAUGCUCCCUGCACACCCUGGCGACAUACAAUGUCCCCAGCACUGCUCUCAGGAAGACAAACCUCCAAAAUCUGGCCCCUGUUAACUAGCCAUUAACACCAGCAACAUCCGGAGACUAAUUUCUUCAUAUUUGAAUGGCUGGUGUUUACUGUGUUUUGUCUGCUGUGGCAAGCAUGGAAAGCCAGGUGAUUCUAAUGACAGCAUGUCUGUUGAAGUCUCUGGUUUGUGGGAGGUUAUGAUCGUGGACAUUUUGGAUUUCUUAUUUAAUUUACUAGAUAAUGAUCACAUUUAUGUAACAAUUUUUUCCAAUUUUCUCAUUUUCACGAAUAGCUUAUUUAAUGUCCUUCUGCACCACUUUACAGUGAGACAUGCAGGAAGGAAAGUCAUGCAGGGGAGCAACUUAAUACAAACGAACCUGCACCAAGGAAGCAUCAGGUUACUCAGGAAUGCUGCUAAUAGGAAGCCACAGAAAAAUAAAUAAUUUUGCAGGUCCUCCACUGUUGUUCAUUCAGUGAAAUCCAUCACAGGUCAUUAGAGGUGUAUUGCUGGCAUUCAAGAGCUGUGUCUCCCACACCCUGCGUUCCCAUACUGCUGGAGCUGCACUGGUUACACCAGAUGUCAAAGCUUUUUUCUCUAAGACAUCGAGAAAUCCGUGCUGACUGUCAAAAGACUGAUAUGUGGUCUACUUUACCAAGAGAACUGAAAUAAAUGAUGAAUGAGAUCACAGAUUAAUUUACCCUAAUGCUAAUCCAUUGUUUGGAAGAGCACAGUGUGUUUCAGCUGAUUCUGAAAGAAAUUUAAUCCCCUGCAACUGAGAAGGAAGUGGGUUUGUAAGACUAAGGAAGGAUUGCAUCACAGACCAAGAAGAGCUAAGCACUGGUGAUUUGGCUGAAGUUCUGGAUUUAAAUGGAACAGAGGAACUUUAGCCAGUAGAUUUCAGCAAUGGCAAAUAGGGUGAAGGACACCUUGGGUCUCUUGGCUGCUUCUAGGCUGAUGUACCAGGUUUUGUAUGCUUACCCACAUGACAGUAGCAAGAUUAAUUAUCUUGGGUCUUUACAAAGAACAGAGCAAGUUCUCUUGCUGCUGAGCUCCACCUUCUCUGCAUAAAAGAGCAUAUGAAGGGAUGACAUCCAAACUUCAGGAUCUGCCAUAGAGAAGGUCACUCACGCGAUGGCACAAAGAAGAUGCCCAGGAAGCUCUCACAUCUUCUCCCUAUUUGUCCAGUCUGAUAGAUGAUGAAUAAACCCGGUGGCUGUCAAAAUCA